GACGAACGCUGGCGGCGUGCUUAACACAUGCAAGUCGAACGGAAAGGCCCUGCUUUUGUGGGGUGCUCGAGUGGCGAACGGCUGAGUAACACGUGAGCAACCUGCCCUUGACUUUGGGAUACAUUCAGGAAACUGGGCAUACUACCGGAUAGGCGCUCCUGCUGCAUGGUGGGGGUUGGAACGUUUCGGCGGUUGGGUGUGCACUCGGGGCUUCGCAGCUUGUUGGUGGGGUACUGGCUUACCAAGGCUUUGACGGGUAGCCGGCCUGAGAGGGUGACCUUCCACAUUGGUGCUUGUAUGCGGCCCAGACUCCUCACGGAGGCAGCAGUGGGGAAUAUUGCACGAUGGGCGGAAGCCUGAUGCAGCAACGCACCGUGCGGGAUGACGGCCUUCGGGUUGUAAACCGCUUUCGCCUGUGACGAAGCGUGAGUGACGGUAAUGGGUAAAGAAGCACCGGCUAACUACGUG
rnacentral:rRNA from 1 species